ensembl:misc_RNA Metazoa_SRP Metazoan signal recognition particle RNA
GCUGGGCAUGGUGGCAUGUGCCUGUAGUCCCAACUACUCGGGAGGCUGAGGCAGGAGAAUCGCUUGAACCUAGGAGGCAGAGGUUGCAGUGAGCUGAGAUGGAGCCACUGCACUCCAGCCUGGGUAACACAGCGAGACUCUGUCUCAA